GCAGCUGCCGAGCGGCGCGCGCUCCACCUGAGCGCUGGCCCCGGGCGCCCGCGCGCCUCCCCUGCGGCCACCGCCUGCCUGCGUGCUCCGCAUCCCGCCUUCUGCCCCGCGCCCCGCGGGGACUCGGGAGACCCAGGCUGCCCGCGGCUGGGCUUUUACAGAAACAGAAAGGGCACCCAGGUCCCCUGACUCCCUGUCUGUCGUCCCAGCUUUCAGGCUAACGAGGUCCUUGAAUCCUUCCUGCUGACUUGUAGGCGCUCUUUAUCCCAAGUCCAUCUACGAAAGAGUCUGCGGUAUGGGAUAUUCUCGAAGUACGGCUGCGGGCGAAACUAAGAUGUGUUCUUUAAGUCCUCGAACUGCCCAGCCAGGGGUUUGAAAGAGCCGUGCGGUGGCCCAUCCCUGAACCACGCCCGCGGUUACAGGAUUAGGACUUGGAAAUAGGGGCUUUCCUUUACCGCUUUCGGCGCGAAAAAAAGAUUUUUUACUCAUUAUCUAUUUUACCACUUUUGUAAGAACAAACGGUCAAAUUUUGAUUUUCUCAGGCUGCAGUUUAGAGCAGUUUAGAGCUGCCGAUUAAAAAGCCUCCCUUGAAUCUUUUGUUAAUUCAACCCUGAUCCCAGCCUUCCCCCGACUGAGGGUCCCUCCCGGUUCUUUGUCCAUUCCUCAAGGGCCCUGCUUUCCCUUUAUAUGUAUUCAUCGCCUGGUCUCUGCAAGCUCGCCUCAUCCUUUGCAGCUCUGCUCUGGUGGGAAGCCCCGAGCUGAGGGCGGGUCUCCGACUCGGACCUCUAUGUUGUUCAUCUGUGGGUUCUGGCACAAGGCAGGGAGUGAAAUGCUGAUUUGCUUGAUUCGAGGGGGAAAUGGUUAUCAAUCAGUUAAUGUCGCCCCGGGUUGCAAAAACCAGACGUGGCUGUGCUCAGCCCUGUUUGUCGUUACCCUGUCGGAAGUGACAGCACGGGGAAGGCGGGCAGCUCCUUGGAUCGCUGAAACUAGGCGCUGUGCUUGCAGAUUGGCUCCCAUAAACCGAGUGAAAGUGUUUCUUGCUCAGUGCUGAACAAAACCCUUUGCAAAUGUUACAAGUACAAGAAAAGAAAGAAAGAAAGAAAGAAAGAAAGAAAGAAAGAAAGAAAGAAAGAAAGAAAGAAAGAAAGAAAGAAAGAGGCAAGAUACUUUCAUUCCGAUUUCAGGGAAGCAGGGCUUUCUCAGGCCCAAGAGGAAGAAGAACUCUGUUUCCUUUGUCUCGGACAACAAUCCUUUUCCAGGGCUGACAAACAAGGAAAACAAAGCAUAAGCUGAGCCGUUCUGAGGUGCUCCUGCUCAUGAGGUGUAAGUCGGCAAAAACGUGAGGUCUUGCAGAACCAACAGGGCAAAAGCAGGAAAAGCCUUCGAUGUCCUCCACCAGCCUCCUCACCCAGAUGCUGACACCCCUUCACUCAUCAAGCAGCUAGCAUUCUUCAUAACACCCUUUGCCAUCUGAGGUCCCCCAGAGCUGCCAUACCUGGACCUGCCUUGAGUGAUGUGACUGCACACCUAUGGCUUGUCUCAGUCCCCUAUGCUGUCCUACUCCCUUAUGUGCCUUCUGACUCCUUCGGUUGGGCCACUUCUACCUGUUUGGAUAAUCCAACUGAGAAAUACCCG